UGAGGAAUAUUGGUCAAUGGGCGAGAGCCUGAACCAGCCAAGUAGCGUGCAGGAUGACGGCCCUAUGGGUUGUAAACUGCUUUUAUGUGGGGAUAAAGUGCGUGACGUGUCAUGCAUUGCAGGUACCACAUGAAUAAGGACCGGCUAAUUCCGUGCCAGCAGCCGCGGUAAUACGGAAGGUCCGGGCGUUAUCCGGAUUUAUUGGGUUUAAAGGGAGCGUAGGCUGUCUAUUAAGCGUGUUGUGAAAUAUACCGGCUCAACCGGUGGCUUGCAGCGCGAACUGGUCGACUUGAGUAUGCAGGAAGUAGGCGGAACUCAUGGUGUAGCGGUGAAAUGCUUAGAUAUCAUGACGAACUCCGAUUGCGCAGGCAGCUUACUGUAGCAUAACUGACGCUGAUGCUCGAAAGUGCGGGUAUCAAACAGG
rnacentral:rRNA from 1 species